rnacentral:rRNA from 1 species
UACGUAGGGGGCGAGCGUUUGUCCGGAUUUAUUGGGCGUAAAGAGCUCGUAGGCGGUCUGUCGCGUCGGAUGUGAAAAUCCAGGGCUCAACCCUGGACCUGCAUUCGAUACGGGCAGACUAGAGUGAUGUAGGGGAGACUGGAAUUCCUGGUGUAGCGGUGAAAUGCGCAGAUAUCAGGAGGAACACCGGUGGCGAAGGCGGGUCUCUGGGCCGAUACUGACGCUGAGGAGCGAAAGCGUGGGGAGCAAACAGG